UGGAUCUGGGGGGUCAGGCGGCUGUCUGUGAUCCCACACAGCGGCUCUUCCACAUGGGAUUUAUUUUCUUGCUGGAUGGGCAGGCAGGCGGCCCAAGAGGAUUCUCAUUUUAGACCAGCGUCUGUAGCUGUCAACGCCAGCCGACAGAGGCGAGCGGACACCCGACCCCGAGUAUCCUCCCUCAACACUCCCCUUUGGACUGUCUCCCCUCCUCCUCCUUGUAUUCCCUGUUCACACACAGAAAAAGCACACAGACACCGAGCAUGCACACCUACACACACACACAAAAUAAUGAUUUCACAGCCUCUCGUUUUCUUUAAAUAAAACCUCCACUUACGUUAUGAUGUGGCUGGAAAUUAUAACAUUUAAAAAAAUUCAGCAUGACUGUUUAUUCAGUUUUGCAUUCAAAGCCAUUUUUUUGCAGUUUAGCAGGAGUCCUUAUCUUUGAUUGUAAUGCUGUGUGGUGAACUCAACUGAAAGCCUCGACGAGCAAUGAGCCAGGUCUAUCUAGCAAAAAAAAAAAAAAAAAAUGCACAGCGUCUCCCCUUCCUCCCAAGCGCCGUUAAUAAUUCGUGCAGUAAAAGAUAGCAUGCCUCUCUGAGUUUGUGGGAGUUAUUGGCACAGUAUUCCCCACCAUAUUUGUGCGAGGCAGUGAUAGGAACAUAAAUUAUUUCUUAUCUCUUCCGCAAUCCAUUUUUCAAAGGGCUCACUCUGUGUUUGAAGGGUAGCAGCGCCGGCAGCCAAAGCCCAGAUAGUCGGCUACAUUAGCCUUCAAGAGAUCCGACUUCGUGAUUUCAAACAAUGCAAUAAAAACAGAACUAAUUGACAUGGGCAGUACCAUAUAUGACCACAAUUUAAUACCAAAUUAGGCCUCUGGAAUCCAACAAAAGAUCAAAACAAUGGUCACCAUUUCCACCACAGCAAAGGCAGGCACUGUGAGAUCAUUAAGUUAAAUGAAUGGCAAUGCAGCUGUGGAUCUAAGAGGUAAGCCCUUGAAUGUUAAAUAUUUCUAGAUUUUCUACAAGAUUUAACAGUGGACCAAAAAUGGACUCUUUGUCC
ensembl:lncRNA